UACGUAGGGUGCAAGCGUUGUCCGGAAUUAUUGGGCGUAAAGAGCUUGUAGGCGGUUUGUCGCGUCUGCUGUGAAAUUUCGGGGCUCAACCCCGAACUUGCAGUGGGUACGGGCAGACUAGAGUGUGGUAGGGGAGACUGGAAUUCCUGGUGUAGCGGUGAAAUGCGCAGAUAUCAGGAGGAACACCGAUGGCGAAGGCGGGUCUCUGGGCCGUAACUGACGCUGAGGAGCGAAAGCGUGGGGAGCGAACAGG
rnacentral:rRNA from 1 species